UACGAAGGGGGCUAGCGUUGCUCGGAAUCACUGGGCGUAAAGCGCACGUAGGCGGAUUGCUAAGUCAGGGGUGAAAUCCUGGAGCUCAACUCCAGAACUGCCUUUGAUACUGAAGAUCUUGAGUUCGGGAGAGGUGAGUGGAACUGCGAGUGUAGAGGUGAAAUUCGUAGAUAUUCGCAAGAACACCAGUGGCGAAGGCGGCUCACUGGUCCGGUACUGACGCUGAGGUGCGAAAGCGUGGGGAGCAAACAGG
rnacentral:rRNA from 1 species